AGUUUCCGGUUUCCACUUUCCGGCGGCUGCAGAGGAGAUGGCUCCAAGCACCCAAGGGCAGGUUUUCCCGUGACCGCACGGCCGUGAGGAUGAACACAAGAAAUAAUUACCAAAUUAUGCACGUUGAGUUGGUUUUCCUGCAUCCUGAGCCCUUAAAAGGAAGAGAAGAAAACAACGGCGACUAGGGUUUGCAGCAUCAGCUCAGCCCCAGAGACUGGCAGACACUGUGGCUCCAUUUCACAGACCACGGCCGCAGCAGUGGAGGUCCCAGCCAAAAGCAUGUCCCGGAGGAGAGAGAACAAGGACUAGACGGCACAUCUGUGCCCUCCCCCGGGACAACUCUCCCUUCCUGCCACCCCCAGCUGCCUCUCCUGGUAGCUGCCGAUGCUUGCACCCUUCCCUGCAGGGAGCCCGGUUCUCUAAGGGCACUAGAUCGUGCCUGCCUCCUACCGGCCUGGAGCACUCUGAACAGGAAAUUCAGCCAGGGCCUCCCUGAAAUGAGUGACUCCCAGAGGACAUCCCCAUGCAUUAUAAGGCACUUUGUCCUGGGGCUGGCAGGUGGCAUAGUGACUAAGGUGCUGGACUCCUGCAUGGGUGAUCAAAGUUCAAGU